AAGAGGCAUGCAGGGGCCACAGACUCAGGGAAGAAAGGAGGAGCAUUGAUCCUCACUGCUGGUGACCGGGAACUGCCAAACCUCACCGGAGACUUAGCUGCUCUAGGAAGUUUACCCUGGUGCGGCAGGAGAGGGCCAUGCCUGCCUGCCUGCCACCAUGCUGGCCACCAUGAUUGUCAUGGGAUCACCCUCUGAAAAGGCUUCUGUACUUCAAAGGCUAACUGGAAGGCUCUUGCAGGAGGAGGGUAGUACUCCUUUCCCACUGUGCAGGGCUCCGGGCACAAGGAAGACAAGGACCCUGGAGACUUCUGUGGCAGCGCUGGGGGAUAACUUCAGUGACAGGGCUGCCCAGGCCAGGCUCUGACGUCAGACGACUCCGGAGGGUGAUGAGUCAGAAGAUGCAGCUUUGGGGGCUGAUUCUGCCAUGGCUCACAUCUCAUGAGAACGUUGUUGGAUGUCCAUUUCUCAUAGGAAUGAGACGGUGACGUCUAACCUACCUGUCUUGAAGCUUUGAUACAAAGGAUAUACUCCAUAACUCUGAGUGGAGGAAAGAAAGAAGAUGGUGCUGAGGGACGGGCCCAGGGACUCUGCAGACAAUAUUCAUCCUCCCUUCCUUUGGAAUUAAGCCCCACCAUGCCCAUGCAGCUCUGUCCCCACUUGAGCCUGUGCUGGAUGUGACAUCCUGGCAGGAGAAAAGACAUCUGAUAAAGACAUUCCCUUUUACUAUCAAACCAUUGAGUGAACGGCCCCAAGGGAUAGAAAUUUCCCCAGGAGUCUCAUGCUGGUGGGAGGAAAAGGCAGAAGUCUGGUGCCAAAGGAGGAGCUGGUCUCCCUGGAAGAGACAAGCCAUCAGACCGCCUUCCAGGAUCUUGAAGCUGAAACAGUGAUGACUGGGGGCACAUCGUGACCAGACUGGCUUAGAUAGGAACACCUCUUGCUCUCUACUUAAACCUAACCCUCAUGUCAGGACCCUGAAAGACAAAUGUGAGGAAUCCCUAAGCCUCCUUCUUCCUCUUCU